GUAUCUUGACUGUGCAAAGGUAGCAUAAUCACUUGCUUCUUAAUUAGGAGCUGGAAUGAAAGAGGCGACGAAAUCUAGACUAUUUAAGUUUUAGUAUAAAUUGACAGGCGGGUCAAAAGGCCCGCAUACACCAGGGGGACGAUAAGACCCUAUAAAACUUUACUUUCGGGCCGGUCCCCGGCGGGAGGGGAAGUGUUUGAGAGUUUGACUGGGGCGGUUAUUAUAGAAACAAUUAUACAUAAAAUAUAUUAUAUAGAUUGGUAGAACUCUCUAGAGAAAUAGAACAAGUUACUUUAGGGAUAACAGCGUGAUCCCCCCA
rnacentral:rRNA from 1 species